AAAAUGUUGUACUUGGGCUUCUUCAACACAGUGUAUGAAAAUGCCUAUCAGAAUGUGUGUUUGGUUUUUCUGUCUGAAACAGUUCAUUAGACAGUGCCACACUGUUUCCUUUCCGAAACCGAAACUAUGCUCUUUCAACUGUUUCUCUAGCUGCUCAGCUGUGAAUAUAUUUUGACUCUGUUCUGUCUUAGACUGUCUGUGCUCAGACAGAUGGACCUCCUGGGAUGUAUGCAGACUUGGUUUAAGAGAAUAAAGCUCCAUUUGCCUUAAUGGAGUUGGAACAUCUUCCAAUAAGUGUGAAUUUGGCAGGCUUGUUUUGAGGGAGGAAAAUGGUAUGCACGCUCCUUCCGUGAUGGGUGAGCGUGCCUGCAGCACCUGACGAGCUGGGUCAGCCCAGCUCCAGACAGAGACACCUUUGCUUGGGUACCUACAUAUGCACCAUGUCUCCAAGCUCCUGUAAUAGCCAGUACUCUCAGUGGUGCUUAGAGAGCCAAGUGGCUACUUUGGGGUUAGCUGAACCACCUUUUCACUGUAUUGAUGAGGUUUCCUGACAUAACCAGAGUAAGGACUUGCAGAGCAUGCAGAUAAGUAUACGUAGAAAUACACCUUUAUGUGCCUUAAUCUGGACUGAAUUCCACCCGUGGUGCUGUUGUUAACUCAAACUGAAUGACAAGCAUCUCCUUUUCRCACCAGAGCUGUGACUAGUCCCGCUGCAUAGGCAAAGGGUCACCAUGCUACGGCUGGGAUAUGCGUAAGACCCACAGGCAGUACAGGUGAAGCCCUGAUGCUACAGCUACAUGACUUGGCUAUGUGACUGCAGGCUGCACUGGUACAGGGUCUGAUGGAUGAGGUGAUGCCCUGGUUUAGGAGGCAGUGACUUGGCAGGGAAAGCUGAUCCUUACAUGCCCCCGUGUCAUCCAGAAGCCUACAGCACACCCAUCUCUAAUGGAAAAAACAGCCCCUCAUAGGGCUGUUAUCAUUCCCAACUGAUGAGCUGCUCUAGCACCUUGUCUUUUUGGCUCUCCCAGGUAUGUGGCACGUGUCUUGGUCUCUCAGCUUUAUUGAAGAGUCUCAUGAGGACUGGAAGUCUGGCCAUAUGUGUAUCUAGGACGAAGUUCAUUUCUGCACAGAGAUCAGAUAUGUGUGAUGUGAUUUCCACAGACCUCCUCAAAAGACAGAAUUUCUGUGAAGAAGCCACCAAGAAAUUCUGUUCAAAUCAAGCUGCUGAUGUUUCGGAAUUACAAGUUAGUUGUCAAAAGGAUUUGAUGCACCACGAGAAAGGGAAGGAUGUGACUAGGACAGCUACAUUAGUGGAAACCAGUGUGAUUAAAGGUCUGACAAAUAAGGCACUUGGAAAGUUUGAGAGAGAAAAGGAACUGAAAGAGUGCAACUAUGACUAUGUGGAUGAAAACAUAGUUGAAAACAUAAGAAAAGUAUUUCAAGACACCACAGUUCAAAAUAAGAAUGUAGUCUCUGAAGAAAAAAGAGACAUUUGA
rnacentral:lncRNA from 1 species